rnacentral:rRNA from 1 species
GAUGAACGCUGGCGGCGUGCCUAAUACAUGCAAGUCGAGCGAACGGACGAGAAGCUUGCUUCUCUGAUGUUAGCGGCGGACGGGUGAGUAACACGUGGAUAACCUACCUAUAAGACUGGGAUAACUUCGGGAAACCGGAGCUAAUACCGGAUAAUAUUUUGAACCGCAUGGUUCAAAAGUGAAAGACGGUCUUGCUGUCACUUAUAGAUGGAUCCGCGCUGCAUUAGCUAGUUGGUAAGGUAACGGCUUACCAAGGCAACGAUGCAUAGCCUACCUGAUAGGGUGAUCGGCCACACUGGAACGGAGACACGGUCCAGACUCCUACGGGAGGCAGCAGUAGGGAAUCUUCCGCAAUGGGCGAAAGCCUGACGGAGCAACGCCGCGUGAGUGAUGAAGGUCUUCGGAUCGUAAAACUCUGUUAUUAGGGAAGAACAUAUGUGUAAGUAACUGUGCACAUCUUGACGGUACCUAAUCAGAAAGCCACGGCUAACUACGUG